rnacentral:rRNA from 1 species
GACGAACGCUGGCGGUGUGCUUAACAUAUGCAAGUCGAACGGAAAGGCCCUGCUUUUGUGGGGUGCUCGAGUGGCGAACGGGUGAGUAACACGUGAGUAACCUGCCCUUGACUUUGGGAUAACUUCAGGAAACUGGGGCUAAUACCGGAUAGGAGCUCCUGCUGCAUGGUGGGGGUUGGUAAGUUUCGGCGGUUGGGGAUGGACUCGCGGCUUAUCAGCUUGUUGGUGGGGUAGUGGCUUACCAAGGCUUUGACGGGUAGCCGGCCUGAGAGGGUGACCGGCCACAUUGGGACUGAGAUACGGCCCAGACUCCUACGGGAGGCAGCAGUGGGGAAUAUUGCACAAUGGGCGGAAGCCUGAUGCAGCAACGCCGCGUGCGGGAUGACGGCCUUCGGGUUGUAAACCGCUUUCGCCUGUGACGAAGCGUGAGUGACGGUAAUGGGUAAAGAAGCACCGGCUAACUACGUG